rnacentral:rRNA from 1 species
AGAGUUUGAUCAUGGCUCAGAACGUACGCUGGCGGCACGCCUAACACAUGCAAGUCGAACGCAGUAGCAAUACUGAGUGGCAAACGGGUGAGUAUAAUGUGGGAAUCUGCCUUUUGGUUUGGAAUAACACGGGGAAACUUGUGCUAAUACCGAAUAAGCCUUUACGGGGAAAGUUUUAAUGCCAAAAGAUGAGCCUGCACUUGAUUAGCUAGUUGGUAAGGUAAAAGCUUACCAAGGCUUUGAUCAAUAGCUGUUCUUAGAGGAAGACCAGCCACAUUGGGACUGAGACACGGCCCAGACUCCUACGGGAGGCAGCAGUGGGGAAUCUUGCACAAUGGGGGAAACCCUGAUGCAGCGAUGCCGCGUGAGUGAAGAAGGCCUUUGGGUUGUAAAACUCUUUCGUCGGGGAAGAAAAUGACUGUACCCGAAUAAGAAGGUCCGGCUAACUUCGUGCCAGCAGCCGCGGUAAUACGAAGGGACCUAGCGUAGUUCGGAAUUACUGGGCUUAAAGAGCUCGUAGGUGGUUAAAAAAGUUGAUGGUGAAAUCCCAAGGCUUAACCUUGGAACUGCCAUCAAAACUUUUUAGCUAGAGUGUGAUAGAGGUAAGUGGAAUUUCUAGUGUAGAGGUGAAAUUCGUAGAUAUUAGAAAGAACACCAAAUGCGAAGGCAACUUACUGGGUCACUACUGACACUGAGGAGCGAAAGCAUGGGUAGCGAAGAGGAUUAGAUACCCUCGUAGUCCAUGCCGUAAACGAUGAGUGCUAG